GGAAGAGCUGACACUGCCUGCGUGAAAGACAGGAGCCCAGGGCUCUCUCCUGAGAUACAAAUUGUAAGAAGCCACCAUGGGGCCAGGACCCUCCCCUGUGGAAUUUAUCCUUAUUGAAUAAUGGAGCGCUGCCCAUUUCAGCUUGAAGGCUGCUGAUCUUUCCUUUUCAUUUCUUUACCUUCAACAGGUGUCAGCUGAGCUCUGUCUAUGUGUCAGGCCCACAGCUUGACCCCAGGACACUUUCAGAAGAGUCCAGUUUUGGUGGAAGCCGGACAUGUGUAUAUAUGUAAUGAGGGUCUCAGGAACCUGGGCAGCAAGAGAUAAGCCAAUAUAUCUGCCUGUUGAGCCUACAGUUAAAAAUAAUUAUAGGGAACAUGGUGAUGCUUCAGAAACUGUCAGAUAUAUUUUGUGUGUCUUUGGGAUUAGGAAGUGGGAGUGCUGCCAUCGGGCUCUCUUAGUUGAGAACAAGGAUCCAGAGGAGGUGGAAGUUCCCAGCACAAUCCAGAGCCCUGUGUGGACACUGAUCUCCAUAAGGACUGUUUAUUGCCGGGACCCUGCUGCACCAGAAAGGUUAUUCAGAAUUACAUUCAGCUCUCCAAAAGAAGGGCAGAGUCUGUACAUUUAAGCUUUGAUUUUCCCAUCAGGUGUGAGCCAGGGCAAGAAAGGAUGUAAAUUAAAAAGGACCUGUAACUUGCUCACCAGUGCAUUCUCUGUGCAUUGGACGUUAAUUGAAAAGAGUGGGUUUUUUUUUUUCUGAAUACUUUUCUAUGCUUUCUAAAUUUUCUUUAGUGAGCAUAUGUUAAUUCAUCCAUUUAUUCAUUAAUUUACUCCUUUACCAAGCAGGCACUAAAGUAGUUAGAGUGUGCUUGACAUUUGCUGGGUAUUUAAACAGUACUAAAAUGGAGUCCUUGCCCUCAAAGAACUUAUAUCUGGUAGAGCUGUUUAUCUUAGUUAGCAAUGACUCUGAGGCAAGUAUGGUACCAAGCAUUUCACUUACAGGAUCUCAUUCAAUUCUCAUAAUAAUUCCAUAGCAUAGGGAUAAUUAUCUUCAUUUAAUAGAUGAAGACUGAAGCUUAAAGAUAGAGCAUGGCCACAGCCCAUCCAUAAUGGGCAUGUUGAAUGAGUGAUGAAUGAUUGCUAUCAGAAGCCACUAAAACCCUGGGGUCAUUUGUUUUGCAGCAUGACCAUCUGACUGGCACAGAAUCCUUAAACCAUGAUACCAGAGUGCCUUCUUUUUAUAUCAUUUCUAUAAUUAGAAAUGAAAACCGUAGGAAUUGGAGAAAGC
rnacentral:lncRNA from 1 species